rnacentral:misc_RNA from 1 species
AAAACAGUGCACCCGCACAAAGGCUGCCGCGGUGGCAGAGCAGCGCGGCCUACGCUGGACGCAUACCACGGUGCGCGCCGCAAAGUCAGGUUGGCGCCACGCGGCCACACCGACACAUACACACACAUAACACAUGAGGAUACGCAAGCAGCAACAUGACUUUGGUCUUUGAAGCUCGACGGCUGCCUUUUGGCAGCAUCUCUGAGGCGUAUGCGGCCCCCAUCCAGCCCAUCGUAGCCCUCCACGCGCUGGACGAGCUACCCCUGUGGGAUCGCUGCAUGCUCGUCGCGGUGCUUCCCGUCGUGCAACAACGCCACUCCACCGGGGCCGCAGCAGCACCGCCGUCGACGGUGGCGCAACCACCACUCACGGGGAGCAGUGGCGAUAACGCAGAUGCCGCCGCCGCCGCUUCCUGGUCGUCUGCCACGAUACGAGCAGCGAAUCAUGAAGAGAGGGUUAAUGCGUCACCAGAGCUGGCGGGAGCGCCGUCCCUCGAGGAUGUCACGUUGGCAUUGACCAUUGUGCGCGCCCUGGAUGAGCUGGAGGUGGUGUACGACUCCAGUAUCAGUACACGCGCGGAGCUGGAACAGCAGCAGCAGCAGCCGUCUUUGCACGCAGCCUCCCUUGCGGAGGCGCCGCGCCGCGCCUUCAAACAGCCGAAGAAGACGUCCGAAGAGCUUCUGAUGGAGCAGCUCCUACAGGAACGCCUUGCUGACACGGCCCCGUAUCUCCUGGAGAGCAGCGACGAGGAUGGCGAGAAAAGCGCCGAAGCGGCGGUCGACGUCGCCAUGUGCUUCACUGUCAAGGGAGAGAGCCUGGGCAUCGGGACUGCGAAUAUAUUUGGCGGUCAUGGAUAUCACCCCUGAUGAACGCUCUGGCUACGUGUGCCGUUUUGUUGAAGAGACGCCCCGCUGCCGCAGCAGGGGCAGGACAGCACAGGACCCCCUUCUGCCUCUCUUACCCCUCCUCCUACUCCUCCCAACCUCUUUCCCAGCUCACAAGCGCCGCUACCCGCGUCCUUCGCACGCGUGCGCCUGCGCGCCCACCGCGAGGCAGACACACUCGCUAGCGGUGCUUCGGUAGCAUUAUGGAGCGGAGAGAGUACGCGCGGACGUAGGCGCGCUGCCCAGACGAGGACGGGUUAAGAGCUGUUAAGAGCUAACUCCCCCAGCAGCAGUGGUGUGUGCUUCACAGGGAGUAAGACAUUCACAUCCACCGCAACUACCCGCGCUGUGAGGGGGGUCGCAUGGAGGCUCCACCCGAAAACCUCGCGUGCGGCGGCACUCGCCCCCUCCGCUGCCGUGCUCUCGUGCGCAUCGAUGUGCGCGUUGUAGCGAGAUACGCACGCGCCAACAUGCAAGAUGGGUCGAGUCUACUGCCACAGUCCCUCUCUUACCACCGACCACCUCUUCGCCUUGUCGUCCCUCUCCCUAUCCCACCAUCACCACCACCACCCACUCACCCACCCAACCCUGCGGCGUCAUCACAG